GGUUAACGAACUCUGCACAUACAUGCAUAUAUUUGUAUGUAAGUGUGUGAGAAUAUUUAAAAACAAAUAUCUUCUAGAGUUAUUCACAUACAUAUUAACUGUGUAUUUUACCGCGAUCUAGUUUAACAUAAUUAACCCUCAAGAUAAAGAUCACGCCAAGAUUAAUUUUAAGCUUCGGAAGCAUAACUAUUUGGUUAUCACGCUCAUCCUUGCCGGAAGAAAUACAAAUUUUGCACCCAUCCUCAAACACGCCGAGAAUAAAAUUUGAUUACAGCAGCAAAGCUCAUAGAAGUGUUUGAUACAAAUCGAUUUUAAUUUAAUGUUCCCUGGAAAGGAAAGGCGCAUUAGCUUCAAAAUGGGAAGCGUUUAAGAAGAAAAUACAACAGUACUAUGCGUAUAAUAUCCACAACGUGAACAGAAGGAAGCUGUUUAUGAAUUUCAAGAAUUCAGAGACUAUUGACUUUAUUUUCACUAUCCUGCUCCCCUCAAUUUUAUCGCCCAAUACAUGGUACUCUUCAAAAGCAUCAAAAACCAGAACUCCCUGGAAAGUCUAGUCCUUCGAGUGAACUCCAUUGCCGACUAUCGCCAAAGGAUUGCAGAAUCUGUCGGUAAAAACUAUUCGAAUUUAAAAACAGUUCAACCGUGUAUGUUUGUAAAAAGCCACAA